GACGAACGCUGGCGGCGUGCCUAAUGCAUGCAAGUCGAGCGGGCUACGAUCUUCGGAUUGUAGCUUAGCGGCGAACGGGUGAGUAACACGUAGGUGAUCUACCCUUCAGAGGAGGACAACCUCAGGAAACUGAGGCUAAACCUUCAUACGUUCACUGGUAGGGAUACUGGUGAAGAAAGAGUUACCUUAGUGGUAGCUGCUGAAGGAUGAGCCUGCGGCCCAUCAGGUAGUUGGUGAGGUAACGGCUCACCAAGCCGAAGACGGGUAACCGGUCUGAGAGGAUGUCCGGUCACACUGGGACUGAGACACGGCCCAGACUCCUACGGGAGGCAGCAGCAGGGAAUCUUGGUCAAUGGACGGAAGUCUGAACCAGCCAUGUCGCGUGAAGGAGGACGGCCCUAAGGGUUGUAAACUUCUUUUGCAGGGGGAAUAAAGUAUUCCACGAGAUGGGAUAUUGCAAGUACGCUGCGAAUAAGGAUCGGCUAACUCCGUGCCAGCACG
rnacentral:rRNA from 1 species